rnacentral:rRNA from 1 species
UACGAAGGGUGCAAGCGUUACUCGGAAUUACUGGGCGUAAAGCGUGCGUAAGUGGUUUGUUAAGUCUGCUGUGAAAGCCCCGGGCUCAACCUGGGAAUGGCAGUGGAUACUGGCAAGCUAGAGUGCGGUAGAGGGGUGUGGAAUUCCCGGUGUAGCGGUGAAAUGCGUAGAGAUCGGGAGGAACACCAGUGGCGAAGGCGGCACCCUGGACCAGCACUGACACUGAGGCACGAAAGCGUGGGGAGCAAACAGG